UUCGCAAUGCCCGAAAGGGUGACGAAGCGACGCCGCGUGGGUGAGGAAGGCCUUCGGGUUGUAAAGCCCUGUCAGGAGUUAAGAAAUGUAAGUGCGCUAAUAUCGCAUUUAUUUGACGAAGGCUCCAAAGGAAGUCACGGCUAACUCUGUGCCAGCAGCCGCGGUAAUACAGAGGUGGCAAGCGUUGUUCGGAAUUAUUGGGCGUAAAGAGCACGUAGGUGGGUUUGUAAGUCAGAUGUGAAAGCCUUCUGUUCAAAGGAAGAACGGCAUCUGAAACUGCAGAUCUUGAGUGUAGGAGGGGAGAGUGGAACUUCUGGUGGAGCGGUGAAAUGCGUAGAUAUCAGAAGGAACGUCGGCGGCGAAAGCGACUCUCUGGCCUAUUACUGACACUGAGUGUGCGAAAGUUAGGGGAGCAAACGGGAUUAGAUACCCCGGUAGUCCUAACCGUAAACGAUGGGCACUAAGUAGAGGGGUUUU
rnacentral:rRNA from 1 species